UGAGCCACCGCGCCCGGCCUGUUCUUUUCUCUCUUUCUUUCUUUCUUUUUUUUUUUUUUUUUAAGAAAGGGGGUGAUCUAUCUAGCUUGUGGACUCUCUCAAUAUUCACCCUGUCUCUGAAAAUCACCCUCCCACCUCCUUGAAUUCUGAUGAAGGCAGUCUCACAAGUUUGUGUUCCACAGGUUGAAUAGUCCUGUUAGGAAGACAUCCAGUUCCCCCCCACAAGUUCCCGCAAAAGCCAUGGGGCUGACUCUUACUGGCCUCCACUUGGGGCAUUGUCCCAUCCUUGACCUAAGUAUGCCACAGGAGGCUGUGCUGAAAGUGGUUCCUUAGAGAGAAUAAAUACUGGACAGGCAAAAACAAUAUAGGUCCUAACUGGGCCUAGGGUAUUCUAGGAGAUUCUAUGUCUUACCACUCCGAGUAUCAUGCUCUGGUCAGCAGCAUCACCAUUACCUGGAAGCUUGUUGGAAAUGCUGACUCAUAGAACUCUUAGGCCCCACUGUGGGAUCUCAUGGGUCAGAAUCUGUUAUUAACAGGAUUCUUGAAGCAAUUCCUGUGCACGUUGGAAUUUGGGAUGUGUGCAGGGCUGGAGCAAAUCAGGGAACCCUGGCCCACAUCCAUCUCUUGUUCAUGCAUAUCCCUGUAUUGUAUACACACUGGGCACUUCCAUCCCCCAUCGGGGCACACACCUUUGAAACCCUAAAGCAGUGUGUGUCAAGAGAGGCCCCACCAUGAUGAAUUGCUUUUAGGUGUUCCUAUAGUUUCCUUUAAGUCCAGGAAUCAGCAUUUCCUUUGUUAGCGAGGUAAAAAUAAUGAGAUGAAAAAACAAAAAACAAAAAACAAAAAACACAAAAGAUGGUCCAGAUUUCCGCACAGUCAAAAUAACUGUGGUUACAUGGGUGGGAAUUGCUGCUUUAAAGGCUUAAAUCUAUUCCUUAAAAACAAGCUGUGUAUACAGUUCUCCUUUUCUUAGCUAAACAAAAUGAACUGGGUUUCAAAAAUUGAAGAUGAAUGAGGUUCUUAUAAUAAUCACUUGCAUUUACUCAUCAGUUCUUGUUCCUGUUCUCUUCAUUUCCUUUCAGAUUGAGGCAUUUUUAAUGAGGAGAGAAGUUAGGAAAGGGGGUCAGGAAAACUGGAAAAAAAAGAAAAAAAAAAAGAAAGAAAGAAAAACCAGAAAAAUUCUGCUGAGCUCUGUAGCUGUUCUCAGUUCUUUAAAGUGCUUGAAAAGUAAUAUUUUGUUGCUACUAAAUCUAAUUAAUAGCUAGCUGGUACUCAUCAAGACCUCAUUUCUUUCAACCUUGAAGGCAAUUGGAAAGAUACACAGAUCUGUGUAUUAUCACAGCAAACGAAUUCUCUUUUUUCCUUAAUCACUUAGAGCUAGGUAAAGCAAUGUAGGCAGCAGACGGACAGCUGUGUUUAAAAAAUAAAACGCAUCUCAGGAUGUUCACUGUGGCUCGUAAUGAAUGUGUAUUGAUUUUUAGAAUUACUUUUGAAAAAAAAAAUACAAUUUUGAAAGCAGAAUCUAAACUAUAUAUUAGGCAUGGUUCUUAACAGAAUAGCCUACCUGUUCCUGAAUGUUUGGAUUGAGUGAGUAAGUAUUUGGAAGCCUGUCCUCUGCCCAGCACGGACUAAUCAGAAUGCUGUGGGCCAAAAUGGAUUUAAACACAAAGAGGGGAUGAAAAUACUCGUCUGGGAGGAGAGUGCCGCGUGGAUUACAAUGCAGAGCCCUGCAUCUCUGCCUGUGUAGGGUGCAGCUGUGGGUUGUUAGUUACAUGGGCAUUUCUUCCAUUCUGAGUGGACCAAGUGUGAAUUGACUUGGUGCCUGAGGUGCAGAUAGGCUGGAGGAAAGUAGGUCAGGCCUUAAUUGUGGCCGUUAGUCGUUGGGAGUGCAAGCAGAAGAGAGAUGGUGAUUACAAAUGCUGCCUAUUUAGAGGACAAGAGCAACUUCAGAAGGUUGGAGGAGCACCCCCUCUGCAUACCACCUCCUCCAGGCAAUCAGUUAUUUCUGCUGAAGCACACCCAGGGCUGAUAUUUUGUGUUUGCUAGGUACAAUGUUACUCAUUUGGCACAUAUUUAUUAGGUGUCUAUUUUGUGCAAGGUCCUUGGUUUGAGCCUCAAACCUGCCUUGGGUUGGUUGUGCCAGUGGCACCGACAUCCAUCACCACUUUGCAUGUUGGUAAUUUAUAUACUACACUAAUAAUCUGGCAGCUCUGCUUUCAAGCCUGACUCUUAUCAAUAAAGUGUGACUGAGAAAUGUGCACUGUGUGUUUGGGGAAAUAGUUUACAGGAAGAAACACGAUGUUACAAUAAAAUUGGCCUGAUCUAAGCAUAGCUAAGGUCUGAAAUCGACAGGGAAUUGUUACAAUUAGUGCACUGAUUUUUUUUUCUCUUUUAACCAUUUCUUGUCUCUUGUGGGAAAAUGAAAGUUUUUCCUCUCCGGAUGAAAAGCGAGAAAACUGGUCUGUUUGUUUACAGAUGUUAGUCAUUUUGUCAAAACACGCAGAUGACCAUAGUCUACGUUUUUUGGUUUCUGUCUGGACAUGCUGCAUGCGUCUGUAUAAUGAGAGCAGCAGUAAUCUCUCACUUCCCUGGACAAAACCAAGUAAGAUGUGUUUGUUUUUUCCCCUUUGUAUUCUGAAUGUAGGAACUUCAUUGUCUGUGUUUGCUGGUGAACCCUUUAUUUCUAUGCUAGGUGCUAGUACGUAUUAACGUGUGCUUCUUUUGCAGAAGGGGGAAAAAUCUGAUUAUAUAGUGUUACUUAGCUGCUCAAAGUUAAUUGAAAUUGACUGAAAUAAGAUUGUGGGGACUCCAAGAUGUCUCUUCUUACAGCUGGGAAUGUGUCCUCGAAGUUUGUAUAUUCUCCAAGAUGGGUCAACAGUGUUGCAAUUCCAACAAAGGGACUAGAUGUCAGAACCUGGGCAAAGGAGGCAUUUCCUGUGACUUCUUAAGAGAAGGUGGUAGAGAAUUUCAUUUUGGUAACUUUAGUAGUUUGGCCCUAGGCCUUGACCCUUCUCCUAAUUGAAAAGACAUUAUAUUCACAGGCUAGUGGCUGGAAUAUCAUUUAGACACAGCAUCUGUCAAGCUCAGUGGGACUGUCUGAUAUUUACACGUAAAACUGGAUUGGGGUCUUGGAGUCUUUUAUUGGUUUUAUAGGUUUAGGUAACUGAUGCAUAUAAUAGCCAAGAAAUCUAUCUCGUGUUCACUCCAAGGGAAAAGAUUAGAUAAUUUAUGUGUUGUAUUUCUUUUUAUACUUGUUUCUCUCAGUAAACAAAGUGUUUAAAGAAUAAGCAGCUAUAGCCUGAAGUGUUAGUACCAUUGUGUUUUUUAGCAAGACUUGGAAAAAUUGAAGGUAUUUUUGAAAAGAAAGCUCCACCACCUCAUGUAAUUUAUAUACAUACCCUACAUUCAAGGCAAAAAUCCAUUUAGGCAGAAGGACAAUUCAUCUUGAAAACAAAUUUGCACAAUCUCAAUUUGUAUUUGGUUUUAGAAAUGGAAAAUGUAUUCUUCUUAGUCAGUUUUCAGUAACUUUUGGCCAAAGGAUAUUUUAGGACAGAGUAUUCUUGAAAAGUUGCUUAUCUGUGAAAUGCUUAGGUUAAUGUAGAAAUUUUAUCUGUGGUCACCCCCUCAUUCUUGAACCCCACAGUCUCAACUUGUUUUCCAUUGUAAGAAGACAGUGGAUAUGUACAUUUAGCUUAAAUUAAGUGGAAUUGUAUAGUAGUUUCACAUUGCUUUUACUGUGUAUGAGACAACAUACAUAUUCAUUUACACAAACAACAGGAAUUUUUUGCAAGAGGGAAAAAAACAGAUUUCACUAGUGGUUUUCAAAACACAGAAUCUGUUUCAACUCAGAUGGAUUUGUUGUUGUUGAAGCACAGUAUAUGAAACACAUAGCAUGACCUCUAUCUGACAAAUAACUGGGCAGUGUAGGGCAAGACACUUGCUCUCUGAGGCUUUAAAGCGAGCUUAUUUGUUUUUUAUCUAGUGUAACACUUCUCUCAUUCCUGAUGAGGAAACUGAGAUUCAGAAUGUCUGAGGCCCAUUCACAGUCACCGUGAGUUGCUGGCAGAAGUGAGUUUGAAUCCAAGUCUCCUCUUUGCUCGUUUGUAAUUGUUUCCUUUUUGACAAGUAGAAAAGACAAUGCACACAAAUGACAAUUGCAUGAAUAUGAGUUUAGAGUCUCAGUUUUUAUUUAUUAUUAUUAUUAUUUUUACUCUUAUUCCCUAGUGAGACACAAUUACUUUUUAGAAGUGAAUAAUUUUCUCAAGAUUUUUAUGCAGCUUAACCUACAUUUUAGUAGCAUAUGUCUUAGUCCAUUUUGUGCUGUUCAAACAGAAUACCUAAGACUAGGUAUUUAGAGUGAAGAGCAAUUUAUUAGUGCAGGCUUUUGGAGGCUGGGAAGUCCAACAUUAAGGAGCCAGCAUGUGGUGAGGGUCUUCUCACUGUGUCAUCCCAUUGUGGAAAGGCAAAGAGAAGGCGAGGUAGGGAAGGGGCAAACUAGUCCUUUCGUAAGGAACUUACUCUCCCAGUAACAAACCCACUCCCUCCUUAAUGACAUUAAUCCAUUCAUGAGGGUAGUGCUCCCGUGAACCAAACACCUCCCAUUAUGCUCCACCCAACACUGCUGAAUCGGGGAGCAGGUUUCCAGCACAUGACCUUUGGGCGACAGAUUCAGACCAUACUGUAUUUUCCGCCCUCCGUAUCUGCUCAGUAUUGAUUCUAGGACUCCCUGUGGAUACCAAAAUUUGCAGAUGCUCAAGUCUCUUAUCGUUGGCCCUCUAGAUCCUUGGAUUUUGAUCGGCUGUUGAUUGAAUUCAAGGAUGUGGAACCUGCUGUUAUGGAGGCCUGACUGCAUAUUUGAUUGAAAUAAAUGGUAUAGAACAUUUAAUGUUGAGUUUUACUUUCCCUGGUUUGUUAGCUUAGAAUACCACCAGCUGCCCACAUUGUCUAGGGCAUCUAAGUCCAUUUAUUAAAGGGUCUGAUUUAAUCUUUUUACCAUGUAGGAUUUGGUGUUAGGUCAUUGUCCUGAACUCAGUAAAUUGGUUUGAAUUUCCUGUGUGCUGUGGGCUUAUGUCAUCUUUAAUUUAUUAAAAUGGGUAAAUCUGCAAGGAUGUUGAAGACCCUGUAUUUCUUUACCAGAUUUCUGUGAGCCAUUUAAUAACUUUAUUUUUGCUAAGUAUUGAUAUUUAUGUGAAAAUGGAUAGAGUUAUUUGUGUUACUUGUCAUUAGGGACAUUUUACUGAUAAGAAAUUUAUCCUCUUAAAGCAUUUUGGAGCUAUUGUCAUGGAGUAUAAGACAAAGCGAAACAUUAUUCUAGCAUGAA